UUUCCGCUUCGGACCAAGCCUAAGUCCCUUGGAAAAGGGCAUCAUAGAGGGUGAUAAUCCCGUACAUGGCUUGGAGCGCCCGAAGCUUUGUGAUACGCUUUCUAAGAGUCGAGUUGUUUGGGAAUGCAGCUCAAAAUGGGUGGUAAAUGCCAUCUAAGGCUAAAUAUUGGGGAGAGACCGAUAGCGAACAAGUACAGUGAUGGAAAGAUGAAAAGAACUUUGAAAAGAGAGUUAAACAGUACGUGAAAUUGCCAAAAGGGAAGGGUAGGAGGUCAGAGAUGCGGCCUGGGAUUCAGCCUUGCUUUUGCUUGGUGUUUUUCCCAGAUUGCAGGCCAACGUCGGUUUUGGGCACUGGAGAAGGGUAGGAGGAACGUGGCACCUCUCGGGGUGUGUUAUAGCCUCCUACUGGAUACAGCGACCGAGACCGAGGACAGCAGCGUACUCGCAAGAGCGGGCCUU
rnacentral:rRNA from 1 species